CUGUGUAUAUGAAGGUUACUGUGUAUAAGAUGUCGGUAAUUAGAAGAAAACCCUAAUUACUGUUGUUUGUCGAUAAUUAGGACAAACCCUAAUUAUUACAACCCUAAUCGGUUGAAGUUAGAGAUCGUAAUGACUGUGUUAGAACAUACACAGAUAAUUAGAGAACCCUAAUGGUCAAUUAGAAACCCUAAUUGAUGGCGUUAAGAAACCCUAAUUAGAAAACCCUAAUUUUUCAAUCAAAAACCCUAAUUUAAAAUUAUCGGGUUUAAUUACGAUGUUAAUGUACAAGUGUUUUAAUUUACCAAAGAUAGAAAGUAAUUGGUAAAUGAUAAGAAUUACCAUCUAGUGAUUAAAUACUACAUUUAAUUGCUAUGUACAAAAAUGCCCAUGAAAUUAUAUGUGAAAUUACCAAAAUACCCUUUUAGUGUAUUAUUAGUUAUAUUAUUUAUGGAAUUUUAAAAUCUAAAGUGAUAAACCCUAAUGGUUAUGGGUAAUGUCUAUAAUGCCCUUCAUGGUAGACAUGAGAAGUCUAAACUACCCUUGUGCAUUAUUAAAGGAAGAAACCAAUUAUUAGUGUGGAAAUGACUAAAAUGCCUUUUUUGUCCAUUUAGUGCAUUAUUGAUGAAUUAUUGAGCAUUAUUGCUCCCAAAUCUCCACAAAUCCGGCGAUUCAAUCUAGAAAUCACCUAUGGACUGUAGUAUUACCAUCAAUCAACCAUUACAAUCAUUUCAUACAUUAUUUAUAUGGAUUAAAGAGAGAGGGAAUGCACAUUUACACUAAAAUUGCUCACAAACACUUAGCUAUUUUCUCUCAACCCCAAACCUCCGAAAUUGUCUUGCCCAUAAGCUCAUAAUCAAAGCCCAACCAUCACAAACAACAAAUCAGAAGCAUCAAGAAGUCAGAAAUCAAAAAUCAAGCUUGAAAAGGUAGGAAACCUUAAAUUCUAGAAAUCCUUCGAUUCGAUGUUAAUUGAUGCAAUUGAUUGUUUAAAGUAGUGUAAUAGGGAGUAUAUUAAUGUUCUGGGUUGUAAAAACACAGACCCAUAACAUCAAAGUGCACGAAUUUGAAGAUUUAAGCAAG
rnacentral:lncRNA from 1 species